rfam:Betacoronavirus Erinaceus/VMC/DET/2012 isolate ErinaceusCoV/2012-174/GER/2012, complete genome.
GAGUCAGGGGUUCUAUUGUAGAUGCCCGAAUAGAACCCUGUGCAAGUGGUCUUGCCACUGAUGUCGUUUAUAGGGCAUUUG